CCAGCAGCGCCAGUCCCAGAAUAUGGCCAAUAAUGAUGCUGAGGGGCGGGGAGCAGCGCGGUCUGCAGACCCACUGAGUCUGAGAGUCUGGCUGGGUGCCCAGGAGAGGUAGCAGGCAGCGGUGGCGGAGAUGGGCUCACACUUCUGAAUCACAAGUCAACCUACAGUCGCCAACACCUCUGAAUCACAUCUCAACCUUCAUUCGAAGACCCGAGGCGACUAUUUUUUUCUUUUUUUCGAGGGGUUUCGCUUGUGGCGCUCAUAAAGACUGGUACACUGAAGCUAAAGCAGGAGCGGGAAGGUUUAUAGUUGCAUUCCGACGCUCAGCACUCCUGUCGCCUCACCUGCCUGGCCGGAGAACAGGUCCGCUGUGGUAAUAAUGCAUCCAGAUAAGUACUUACCUGAACUGGUGGCCGAGAAAAGCAGCUUGGACCCCUCCUUUGUGCAUGCGUUGCGCCUGCUUGCAGAAGAGAUUGAGAAGAAUGACGGAGAUGAAUUGAGAAAAGAUGGUGACACAAAUAAAUACCUAGAUAUCAUCAGCAAUAAAAAUAUCAAGCUCUCCGAAAGAGUUCUCAUUCCAAUCCAACAGUAUCCAAAGUUUAAUUUUGUCGGAAAGCUGCUGGGACCACGGGGAAAUUCAAUGAAACGAUUACAAGAGGAGACGGGAGUGAAGAUGUCCAUCCUCGGCAAAGGGUCCAUGCGGGAUAAAGGCAAGGAAGAAGAAUUAAGGAAAAGUGGGGAGGCCAAAUACGCCCAUCUGAGUAAUGAUCUUCAUGUUUUAAUUGAAGUCUUUGCUCCACCUGGAGAGGCCUAUUCCCGUAUGAGUCAUGCCUUGGAGGAGAUAAAAAAAUUCCUAGUUCCAGACUACAAUGACGAGAUCAGACAGGAGCAACUGAGAGAGCUCUCCCUGUUGAACGGCUCAGACGAGUCGAGCAGAGGGAGGAGUGCGCAAGGAAGGAGUGUACGACCAGCAACCACAAUAUCCACAGGGGGCCACAGAGGCACAGGAAGGAGUGCAGCAGCACCUCGGGGGACAGCGGCAGUGGCACACAGCAAACUUCCCACAACUGUUUUAACGAGGGAGGUACAAGCCCCGAGAGCCAGGGGGGCAGCAGGGAGUGCAGGAUACAGGCCCCCGCUGUUAGCAGUCACACAUGAAUCAUACGACGACUAUGGCUACGAUGAUGGGUAUGGUGGAGAAUAUGAUGACGAGAGUUACGAAGCCUAUGACGAUAACUACAGCAAUCAGUCAAAGAGCAUCUCAGAAUAUUAUGAAUAUGGACAUGGAACCAGUGAUGAAUCUUACAACAACUAUGAGGAGGAGUGGGCGACUACCCGUCCCAAUCUCAAAGCCCCAGUUUUACGGCUGACAAGAGGGGGCUACAGAAAACAUCCCUAUGCUGAGGAAACUAUUGUGCGAUUUGGUCAAAACAGAGACGAAUGUAACAGAGCAGAAGGCACAGAAAUCUGCUCCCAGAGGACUGAAGAUUGUACUCAGCCAUCAGACAUGUUCGGGUCUUUCAUCAGUCAGGAAAGUAGCUUGAGAUGAGAGGAACGGUGAUGGAACAUGAAACAUGAUGGCAAAGACAAAUGACUCACAGGUUGGUGAGUGUUACGAAAGACAACGAGACGAGCCACAUUUCUGGUGGACAAUAUUUUUUUUAAUUUGUGCUAAAGGACCUAAGUGUUAAAUUUGUUUUACAUGUAAAAAUGUCUUCAGGUUAGCAAAUUUUGAAUUCAACCAAAAUCCACACCCUUGCAGCAGAAAAAAAAACACUUGCUUCUGAUGUUAGAAAUGUGUCAGUUCUGUCCAAUUUUAUCAUAACACUAUUUUGUGUUAUGGCCUAAAGUAAAAAAACAAACUUAUAAGCAAAUCUCAACAUGAGUGGGCCUUAUUUCAGCCGUGUUGUCAUCUGGCGGCUGCUGUCAUUACCAACCUGAGUGCACCCUGUGUCCGUUCCCAGCGCUCUAAUAAAUGGUUCACUUAGUGCUGCCAACAUGAACAUGUUAGUUCAUUAAGCAAGUCGAGCCCACUGCUGGCGUUGUGGCCAACUGUCAAAGCUAUUUCACGAGCCCAACCCAUCAGUGCCGCCGGAAUAUACAGUACAGCAGCCAGACACAGCUCACACAUCGUGUCAUUUUCUGAGUGGCAGUCAUAAUGAAUGGUGCCGUCUGCAGCUCUACAUAUGGUGCACAGUAAUUAACACUUGAGAUUGAUAGAAGCAAUACAAGCAUCCCACUGUCCGAAUAAAUGUUCAUGAAUGUCUUUCUUUCUGAAUAUGUUUGGUUAUAUUUGAUUUACAAAACAAUAAAUCGAUAGCCUCAUAGGCACAUCUCAGCUUCUCGCAACAUGUUCAACUUGAACAGCUUGCAGGGCCCACGAGUCACAUUUGAUGCAGAAGAUCAUCCAUCGCUUAUCUUUUUUUGGGUGGAAAGGGAUUUCAAGAAUCUGCUCAAUUGUUUAGCAGACUCAUUUCAUCAAAACAUCCACCCCUGAUUCUGGCAUUUGUUUAAUUAAUUUGCUCCAUGACGUACACUCCACACAGCCUGUCAGACAGCACAGCAUUUAUCUUCCUCGAUACCACUUGAUCUAAAUCUUGCAAACACAAAGACACCAAAGUGGGUCAGGAUCUAGGCGAGUACCCAGACAUGUUCAAUGAUGCAAAACAGUGCAUGGUUAUAACUCCAACACAAAGCAUUUCCCUGUGCCAGGGACGGGUACCUGAGCAAACUCAGCUCUGUUUAGACAGCUGCUUGAUGAGCCAGAAUAGAAAACGAGGGCUUAUAAUCACCCGAGUCUAAAAGGGCCUCUUUACCGGCACAGCACUUGUGAUGAAAUGGUGUGCAGAGUCAGAGUCCUUGAUGUGUUUUGAUGAUUUUCUUGUUGCGACAGCAGGCUGGGAUCUAAGCCAGGUGACAGAGGGUGAGGCUGUAUAGCUUGAGCUGCAGUUUUGAAAAGUUGUGUGCACUGUAGACAGACUACUAUACGUACAUGAUCUUAGCUCCCUUUUGCACAAAAGCCGGCCCCCUCCAGCUCAUUAUAGCUAUUUUUGGAGAGAGGAUGAGUUUUGACAUGUUGUGUUGCUUUGUGCCUGUGGAUAAACUAAGCAGCAAGUGAA